AACGGACGCUGGCGGCAGGCUUAACACAUGCAAGUCGAACGGUAAGGCCCUUCGGGGUACACGAGUGGCGAACGGGUGAGUAACACGUGGGUGAUCUGCCCUGCACUUCGGGAUAAGCCUGGGAAACUGGGUCUAAUACCGGAUAGGACCCUGGGAUGCAUGUCCUGGGGUGGAAAGCUUUUGCGGUGUGGGAUGGGCCCGCGGCCUAUCAGCUUGUUGGUGGGGUGAUGGCCUACCAAGGCGACGACGGGUAGCCGGCCUGAGAGGGUGACCGGCCACACUGGGACUGAGAUACGGCCCAGACUCCUACGGGAGGCAGCAGUGGGGAAUAUUGCACAAUGGGCGCAAGCCUGAUGCAGCGACGCCGCGUGAGGGAUGACGGCCUUCGGGUUGUAAACCUCUUUCAGCACCGACGAAGCGCAAGUGACGGUAGGUGCAGAAGAAGGACCGGCCAACUACGUGCCAGCAGCCGCCGCAG
rnacentral:rRNA from 1 species